rnacentral:lncRNA from 1 species
GAACCACGAGAGGACAGUGUCACAGAGACCGAGUGAUUGAAGAAGGAGAGCAUGAUCAACAGUGUCAAAAGCAGCAGAGAGGUCAAGAAGAAUUACUAUGGAGUAGUGGCCUUUGGAUUUAGCUGCGAUUAGGUCAUUAGUAACUUUGAUAAGAGAAGAGGGUCAAGGAGAGAGUUGGAAUUGAGGAAGUGAGACAUACGGGUAAAGACCAGUCUUUCCAGAAGUUUUGAGGAAAAAGGAAGUAGGGAUAUGGGACGAUAGUUAGAGGGGGAGGACGGGUCAAGAGAUGUUUUUUUUUCUUUUCAGGAUAGGUACUACAGUGGCAUGUUUAAGGUCAGCAGGGACAACUCCAGAAGAGAGAGAGAGCAGUUGAAGAUGUGUGUGUUAAGGAAGGCACAAGACAAGUGGAGAGAGAUCUGAUAAGGCGAUAUGGGACAGGAUCAAUUCUAAUAGCCUUCAUUCUGUAUGUGAACCCCUCCUCCUCUCUGUUCUAAUAGCCUUCAUUCUGUGUGUGAACUCCUCCUCCUCUCUGUUCUAAUAGCCUUCAUUCUGUAUGUGAACCCCUCCUCCUCUCUGUUCUAAUAGCCUUCAUUCUGUGUGUGAACUCCUCCUCCUCUCUGUUCUAAUAGCCUUCAUUCUGUAUGUGAACCCCUCCUCCUCUCUGUUCUAAUAGCCUUCAUUCUGUGUGUGAACUCCUCCUCCUCUCUGUUCUAAUAGCCUUCAUUCUGUAUGUGAACCCCUCCUCCUCUCUGUUCUAAUAGCCUUCAUUCUGUGUGUGAACUCCUCCUCCUCUCUGUUCUAAUAGCCUUCAUUCUGUAUGUGAACCCCUCCUCCUCUCUGUUCUAAUAGCCUUCAUUCUGUGUGUGAACUCCUCCUCCUCUCUGUUCUAAUAGCCUUCAUUCUGUAUGUGAACCCCUCCUCCUCUCUGUUCUAAUAGCCUUCAUUCUGUGUGUGAACUCCUCCUCCUCUCUGUUCUAAUAGCCUUCAUUCUGUAUGUGAACCCCUCCUCCUCUCUGUUCUAAUAGCCUUCAUUCUGUGUGUGAACUCCUCCUCCUCUCUGUUCUAAUAGCCUUCAUUCUGUAUGUGAACCCCUCCUCCUCUCUGUUCUAAUAGCCUUCAUUCUGUGUGUGAAUCCCUCCUAACGAGAUGGAUUUUAAGGCACUUCUUAAAAGAUGCAAGAAUAGGGGAGAGUCUGAUGUCGGUAGACAUGCUAUUCCAUAGGAAGGGAGUCGCCUGGGAGAGGUCCUACAAGUGUAAGUUGGCUGUACGGGUGCGUGCAAUGGACAGGAGAAGGUCACAAGGCAGAGCGGAGAGACCGAGAAGGGGCAUACCUAUGGAUCUGUGAAGAGCUAUAAGAGGGGCUAGAAUUGUUCAGUGCUUUUAUAGGUAUGGGGGGUAUAAUUAAAAAAGGAGACACUGAAUGAGCGUUGAGAGAGAGAGAGAGAGAGAGAGGAGGAGAACCACGAGAGGACAGUGUCACAGAGACCGAGUGAUUGAAGAAGGAGAGCAUGAUCAACAGUGUCAAAAGCAGCAGAGAGGUCAAGAAGAAUUACUAUGGAGUAGUGGCCUUUGGAUUUAGCUGCGAUUAGGUCAUUAGUAACUUUGAUAAGAGAAGAGGGUCAAGGAGAGAGUUGGAAUUGAGGAAGUGAGACAUACGGGUAAAGACCAGUCUUUCCAGAAGUUUUGAGGAAAAAGGAAGUAGGGAUAUGGGACGAUAGUUAGAGGGGGAGGACGGGUCAAGAGAUGUUUUUUUUUUCUUUUCAGGAUAGGUACUACAGUGGCAUGUUUAAGGUCAGCAGGGACAACUCCAGAAGAGAGAGAGAGAAGUUGAAGAUGUGUGUGUUAAGGAAGGCACAAGACNNNNNNNNNNNNNNNNNNNNNNNNNNNNNNNNNNNNNNNNNNNNNNNNNNNNNNNNNNNNNNNNNNNNNNNNNNNNNNNNNNNNNNNNNNNNNNNNNNNNAAGUGGAGAGAGAUCUGAUAAGGCGAUAUGGGACAGGAUCAAACGGGAAAGUGGUGGGGCGAGAGGAAAGUAGAAGCACAGCCACCUCUUGUUCAGUAAUCUGGGAGAAAGUCUGA